CCAAUUGUUGUAGCAUAUUUUUUUUAUUUUAUUAUUUUUUUUUAGUUUAGGUUUAUUUCAUUUUUAAUUUUGUAAAUAUUGGUAUUUUUGGAACAAUUUUUGGGUAGCAUCUACUGAGGGAUGCUAAAAACUUUUAAAUCCACUGAAGGAUUCCAGGAAGGCACACCUACUGAUGGGUGUUGGAAGGAAUUGCUCUUACUGACAAGUGCUAAACAGGUUUGGGUCAGG
rnacentral:lncRNA from 1 species